rnacentral:rRNA from 1 species
AGCAGCCGCGGUAAUUCCAGCUCCAAUAGCGUAUAUUAAAGUUGUUGCAGUUAAAAAGCUCGUAGUUGAAUUUCGGGAUUGGCGCAUCGGUCGUGCCUCACGGGGUAUGAACUGGUGCAGUCAAUUUCUCACCUUCUGGAGAACCGCGAUGUCCUUAAUUGGAUGCCGCGGGGAACCAGGACCUUUACUUUGAAAAAUUAGAGUGUUUAAAGCAGGCAUUUUUGCUUGAAUACAUUAGCAUGGAAUAAUAAAAUAGGACGGCAUGGUUCUAUUUUGUUGGUUUCUAGGACCACCGUAAUGAUUAAUAGGGAUAGUUGGGGGCAUUAGUAUUCAAUUGUCAGAGGUGAAACUCUUGGAUUUAUUGAAGACUAACUACUGCGAAAGCAUUUGCCAAGGAUGUUUUCAUUAAUCAAGAACGAAAGUUAGGGGAUCGAAGACGAUCAGAUACCGUCGUAGUCUUAACCAUAAACUAUGCCGACUAGG